AUGAUGAUCCUGCAGGUUUCAGGGGGCCCCUGGACAGUGGCUCUGACAGCAUUACUGAUGGUGCUGCUCAUAUCUGUGGUCCAGAGCAGGGCCACUCCAGAGAAUUCCGUCUACCAGGAACGGCAGGAAUGCUAUGCGUUCAAUGGGACUCAGCGCGUUGUGGACGGGCUCAUCUACAACCGGGAGGAAUACGUGCAUUUUGACAGCGCAGUGGGGGAGUUCCUAGCAGUGAUGGAGCUGGGGCGGCCCAUAGGCGAGUACUUCAAUAGCCAGAAGGACUUUAUGGAACGGAAGCGAGCCGAGGUGGACAAGGUGUGCAGACACAAGUACGAGCUGAUGGAGCCACUCAUCCGGCAGCGCCGAGUCCAGCCUAGGGUGAACAUCUCCCCUCCAAGAAGGAGCCCCAGCAGCACCACGACCUGCUUGUCUACCACGUGACAGAUUUCUACCCAGACAGCAUUCAAGUCCGAUGCUUCCUGAAUGGACAGGAGGAAACAGCUGGGGUCGUGUCCACCAACCUGAUCCGUAAUGGAGACUGGACCUUCCAGAUCCUGGAGAUGCUGGAAAUGACCCCCCAGCAGGGAAACAUCUACACCUGCCAAGUGGAGCACCCCAGCCUGGACAGUCCUGUCACCGUGGAGUGGAAGGCACAGUCUGAUUCUGUGCAGAGCAAGAUGCUGACAGGAGCCAGGGGCUUCAUGCUGGGGCUCAUCAUCUGUGGAGUGGACAUCUUCACGCACAGAAGGAGGAAGAAAGUUCAACAAGGAUCUGCAUAAACAGGCAAUAUUCCUGCUUUGAUUUCCUU